rnacentral:rRNA from 1 species
GACGAACGCUGGCGGCGUGCUUAACACAUGCAAGUCGAACGGGAAGGCCCCAGCUUGCAGGGGUACACGAGUGGCGAACGGGUGAGUAACAAGUGGGUGAGCUGUCACGCAAUUCGGGAUAAGCCGGGGAAACUGGGACUAAUACGGGAUAGGAGCGGACCGUGAGGGUGGGGUGGAAAGAUUUUCGGUGUGGGAUGGGCCCGCGGCCUAUUAGCCUGUUGGGGGGGGAAUGGCCUACCAAGGGGGGGACGGGUAGCCGGCCUGAGAGGGUGGGCGGCCACAUUGGGGCUGAGACACGGCCCAGACUCCUCCGGGAGGCAGCGCUGUGGAAUAUUGUGCAAUGGGCGGAAGCCUGAUGCAGCGACGCCGCGUGGGGAAUGACGGCCUUCGCGGUGUAAACUCCUUUCUCCGUCGACGAGGGUUUUCUGACGGUAGAUGGAGAAGAAGCGCCGGCUAACUACGUG